UUCAGUUUCUCCAUCGAUUGUGACACACUGGACUGGAAUUUCUGUUAGGGCAAGGUGACUUUGGUGCGGCCUAAUCCAAUUGUCCAACAACCGUGCAGGCUUCACCUGUUAGAUAACGCAGCGAACAUGAAUCGAUUUGUGUGUGUGGGCUGCUGUUUGUGCUAUUUUUGUUGUUCUCUAGAAUGUCAAGUAGAUUUUCUUGCACGUGCAUUUAUUUUAUGGGUUAUUGGCUAUGUGUAAUGUUUCCAGUCCAUAUGACGCCAGUUUAAUGUUUUCUUUCCAGGCACUCUCUUGCAAGACUCAAUUCAAUUAUUGGUAGGCUUGAAAUUAACCUUUCGAACAAGCAGCAAGGCAAACAGUGUGCCCUUAGCACGCUUUCCGUAGCGUGUCGAGGAAAAGUGGAGAAACUUUGCAAGCCACGAGAUCCCCGUUGAGUAUUGCACACAUGAUAAAUCACGAGAUCAGCAGUGACAGACGGUGAUAUUUCAAGGGCCACUUAUAAAUUAAUUCAAAGAGUAGUUUAAAUUGAAGCUGAUGUUUAGAGGGAAGCUUCUGUAUUUCAACUGGUAAAUGUGCAUAUCAAGCGAUAGAUAGAUUCGGUAAUGUUGUACAAACACUAUCCGUUAAUGUGAUGCAGAUGAGAUAUAAUAUGAUCACGUCAUGUUUGGUUUUCAAUACCAAGAUGAAAUAGAAUCUAUGUAAGGCAUAGUACGAAAAGGA